rnacentral:misc_RNA from 1 species
UUUUUUUUUUGCAGGGCGAUGUCCGAUCAGAACCCCAAAUCAAUUUUGCUGCAGCCGACCUAUCUACUUGAUAUUGUCAGUUUUUCUUGAAUUUCUUGCAUGCAUUCGCAGUUAAGUGAAGAAAAUCAACAACUUGUUGUCUUUUUAAAGCUACAUUCGUAUUAUACUUUAAGAAAAUCAAAAGAAACCGUAGUUUUCAAGAAUAUAUUGGCAUUAAAAGUUGAAAAUUG